UACGGAGGAUCCGAGCGUUGUCCGGAUUUAUUGGGUUAAAGGGUGCGUAGGCGGUUUAUAAGUCAGUGGUUAAAGACUCUCGCUCAACGAGAGGGAUGCCAUUGAUACUGUAGAACUUGAGUACUGUAGAGGUAGGCGGAAUUGGUAGUGUAGCGGUGAAAUGCAUAGAUACUACCAGGAACACCGAUUGCGAAGGCAGCUUACUGGAGAGUAACGUG
rnacentral:rRNA from 1 species